GACGAACGCUGGCGGCGUGCUUAACACAUGCAAGUCGAACGGAAAGGCCCUGCUUUUGUGGGGUGCUCGAGGGGCGAACGGGUGAGUAACACGUGAGUAACCUGCCCUUGACUUUGGGAUAACUCCAGGAAACUGGGGCUAAUACCGGAUAGGAGCUCCUGCUGCAUGGUGGGGGUUGGAAAGUUUCGGCGGUUGGGGAUGGACUCGCGGCUUAUCAGCUUGUUGGUGGGGUAGUGGCUUACCAAGGCUUUGACGGGUAGCCGGCCUGGGAGGGUGACCGGCCACAUUGGGCCUGAGAUACGGCCCAGACUCCUACGGGAGGCAGCAGUGGGGAAUAUUGCACAAUGGGCGGACGCCUGAUGCAGCAACGCCGCGUGCGGGAUGACGGCCUUCGGGUUGUAAACCGCUUUCGCCUGUGACGAAGCGUGAGUGACGGUAAUGGGUAAAGAAGCACCGGCUAACUACGUG
rnacentral:rRNA from 1 species